rnacentral:lncRNA from 1 species
CUUACCCCUCCUCGGCCGCCAAUGGUUUGCCGGUGAAUGCUUCGUCGCCUAUUGAAAUUUCUGAAUUUAUUGGUAAUUUAAAUUGAAGAUUGGACCGUUUUUUUGCAUUUUGUAAUUGAUCAUUCAGUCGCCAAAUUGGUACACUACAAAUGGAACCAUCCCUUUUGGAUUUUUGGGUUUUACUAUUUUUUUAAGUUUCUCGUUUCUUUUUUUUCCUCUAUCAAUUUUUUGCAUUUUUUGUUGGAUUUAUUUCAACAUACCAAUCUAAUAAAACCAUGUCCGUAAUUUAUAAAUUAAAUGGGCGUAAAUAUUGAAUUUGUUGAAUUAAUUAGGUGGGCAAUGGUAAUUGUCUUCGGAUUAACUUUAGGGUUGUUUUGUCAUUUUUUUUAAAUUUUUGUUGUAGUGAAUCUCCGUGAAAUUGAAGAAGCAUAUUCAACCACGUCUCAUAUAAUCACUCCUAUGAAUUGAUUUAAUAUGUUAUUCUUUCGGUGUUUUAUAAUAGCAGAUUUUGAUAAGACUAUAGUGGAUUUCAAGUUAUUGUCCUUGUUUAGAAAAAAAAAAUGAGUGUUUGUGUAGCGGUGAAGGUGUCCAAAAUAGUUGUUUUUGUUACCUUUGUCAGUUGUUUUUUUCUAUUUUCAUGAUAAGUUUUGUUAUUUUUGCAAAUUAUUUUUAUAGUGGAUUAGAUUAAUAUUUGAGUGAGUUUUGAUAUUUUUUAUAGUGGAUUUUGAUGAGAUUGUAGUGGAUUUCAAAUUCUUGUUUUGGAAACCGAUUUUUUUUAUGAAUUAAAUUUACGCAUUGUCUUUUUUUUUUUUUUUUCUCAGGUUCUUCCACAAGCGGAGUGAUGGCAGCAAGUGGGACGAGGUUGGGUGAUGCUCGGGUGCCUCUACAAUUGUCUGUGAUGACGUUGUUUACUAAAGGGGAUUUUGGUAGUGGAUCGGAUUUAGGCAAAUUUGUAGUGGAUUUUCUCUUUUGUAAAGGUG